AAGGCUGCAGACUCAGCUGUCAGCACAGAGCCUGAUGAGGGACUCGAACUUAUGAACUUUGAGAUCUUGACCUGAGCCAAAGUCAGACACUUAGCCAAUUGAGCCAUCCAGGCGCCCCACAAAUGACCCAGUUUAAGAGAUGGCUCAAAGAUUUUGGAAACUUCACCAGAGGAUAUAUGCACAUGGCUAGUAAGCAUAUAAAAGAUGCAGAGCAUCACUGGUCGUUAGGUACAUGCAAAUCAAGAUGACAGUGAAAGAAUUCACACCCACAGCAAUGAGUGUAAUCAAAAGGGACGGAUAAUCAGUGUUGUUGGGAUUGUGGAGAAAUUGGAGCUUCCAUUCAUUUCUGGUGAGAAUGUAUGUAGUGUGGCUAAUUAACCUCAAAAAGUUAAACUGAGCUGCCAAUUCCAUUCCUAGGUAUAUACCCAAGAGGAUUAAAAAUGUCACAAUCCGUUGUCUAUUAUCUGAUGAAUGGAUAAGUAAAAUGUGGUAGAUCUAUAAAAUGGAAUAUUUGGAAAUACAAAGGAAUGAAAUACUGGUAUGUAUUACAACUUGGCUGAACCUCAUAAACAUUAUGCUAGGUGAAAGAAGCUAGUCCUGAAACACCACAUUUCAUAUGAUUCAAAUUGUGUGAAAUAUCCCCAAUAGGCAAAUCUAUAUAAAGACAAAGAAUGAGGAGUGACUGUUAAUAUAUUGUUACAAGGUUUCUUUUUGGGAUGAUGAAGUUGUUAAAAAACUAGAUUGUGGUAAUGGUUGCAUAACUCUGUACAUAAAUUGAAUACUUUAAGUUGUUGAGCUUUAUAAUUUGUGUAUUUCAAUAAAGCUGUUAACAAAAGAAGACUACGAUGAGAUAUCUCUAUUGUGUACCUGUUAGAAAGGAUGAAAUUGUAAAGGACGACCAUACCAAAUGUUGGUGAGAAUGUGGAACAACCGGUGCUUUCGUGUACUGCUGGUGGGAAUGUAAAAUGGUACGGCCACUUUGAAAAUCAGUGUAGCGGUUUCUUAGAAAGUUAAACAUGCACUUAACACAUGAUCCAGCCAUAGCACUCCUAGGGGUUUACUAGGAGAAAUGAAUGCCUACAAACUCGUAUGUGCACGUACAUAGCAGUUUUAUUUGUAAAAUCCCAAAACUUGCACUAGCCCAAAUGCCCAUCAACAGACGAAUGGAUAAACAAAUUGUGACACAUCCAUACAGUGGAAUACUAGUCUGUGCUAAAAAGAAAUGAACUUUUGAUACACGUAACAACAUAGAUGAAUCUCAAAAUAGGAUGAGUGAAAGAAGAAGCCAGGGUAUGUGCCACUUACAUAAAACUCUAGAGAAUGCAAGUUAAUCCGAAGUACUGGAAUGCAGAUAGGUACUUGCUUAGGAAUGGGGCGGAGAGGAGAGUGGGACAGUGAGAUUAUCAAGGAACUUGAGUUAAUUUUGGUGGUGAUGGAUACCUUAUUUCAGUUGUGGUGACCGUUUUAUCAUUGUCAAGUGUACCAAGUGAUAUUUAAGCACAUUUUAUUGAAUGUCACUUAUUCCUCAAUAAAGCUAUUUUUAAAAAUCUAUUGGGUUAUUUUUUUACUCAUGCAUGGUUUUGUAGCAUGUUGUAUUGAUCUUUUGGUAGAUAGUCGCUGAGUUCUGCAUAUCUUCCAAAUGGUAGUAGAAAAGCUUCCAUUCACUAACGUCACCACCUAGCUCGUCUUGAAAAGCCUUUUAGGUAUUAGAGAGGCUGUUAUGCUCGUUGUGAUGGAUACAAGUUUUCUAAAAUCAUAAUUUUUGUCUGAAAGUUUGAUUUUUAUUAUUGGCAGUAAAUAUCGUUAGUUGUUUUCCUUCACUCCUGGGCUGACUUGAUUCUUUUGUGAUAAAAUGUCUGCCGAAUACUUAGACCUGAAUAACUGUUUUUGUUUUCUCAGUUUUUUUUACCCAUGGUAAACAUGAUGUUUCAAAAAACAACAUGAUGUUCCAUGGAAGGAAAAAACAGCUAGUCCAGCUGGCAAGUCCAAAGAAUUGUACAAGUGCUGUUUCUUGUGGUAGCCAUUGCUGUCGAGCUCAAGUCCAGGAUGCUGAGCCCACACUCCCUGUAUUUUCCAAUUCUAAACCUUCCACUUGGUUUUUUGAAUCUUCUUUUUCUUUUUUUUUUUUCUGUUUGUUUGUUUGUUUUUUGCAGUCUUGGUCUAGUGAGGAGACAGAAAACACACAGUAAUUUAGCCAGAGGAAGUUGAAAGAAUUAUUAAGCUACAGUAAGAGCGUAGCUAUAAAGGUGUAAAGCAUACUGUAAAGGGUACUUUGGACAAGAGGGAGUCUAUCCAAGUAGGGACACAUUCUGAAUUGGUGGGGCCCCCCCUCCGUCUGUGGUUCAGACAUUGGAGAAAUGUGGAGUUGUUCAGAGCUGGUCUGCAGUUUCUGGGCAAGCAGGAAGCAACCCUCCAGGGUGCAGGCAAGCCAGAGUUGAUGGAUGGGCAUGCAGAGGAAGUUGGAUACCAUUGUUAGGUACAAGGCCUGGAGUGUAUUGGGUUCUUCUUACCAGUAGGAUUGUGAAAAGGUAGACAUUAUAACAGACCUACUGACAGUGCAGCAGGAGCCGGAAAACCACUUCCUUCUUCUUGCCUUGUCCCUCCAGCACCCUGUACUGACAUGUUUGUGUAAAGAAAGGCUUAAGGAUUCAGUCUCUUACCACUGGACGGACUGAAGAACGAAUCUGGAGCUGAGAGGGAAUGCGUUGAUACCUGGCCCACCCCUCCCAAAGCCAUUGGAGCCACUGCCUGUGCUGCUGGCAGAAUCACCACCGGGAUCUGUAACUACUGCAGGAGUCGACAGCACCUGCAGACCUAUAGCUCCAUAUUCUAAUCAUGAGCAAAACAUGAGACAUUCUGAAAAAGACAUCCUACAACAUACCUACCCAAUACUCCUUAAAACAACCGAAGUCAUCAGAAACAAGGAAAGCCUAAGAAACUGCUAGAGCCAAGAGAAACUCUUAGCCAAGCUAAGGAGACAUGGCAGCUAAAUAAACGUCAGGUGGAUUUUGGAACAAAAAAAAAAAAAGGACAUUUGGUGCAGAGAAAGGAAAUCUGAAUGAACUGUUGAUUUUAGUUUAUGAUAAUGUGUGAAUAUUAGUUCAUUAGAUUCAAACAAAAGUACCAUCCUAAUGUAAGGUGUUAAAAACGUGAUACUAGGUGCUGUGUGUGUGAGAACACUGCGCUGUCUUCUCAGAUUUUCUGUAAAUGUAAACUUGUUCUGGAAAAUAAAGUCUUUUAAUAAUUUA